UCAAAUUUAUCCCAGUUGGGUUGAGACCGUGUAUCAGAUGAGAAUCAUUUUAUUCUUAUUAAUCCGACCCAAUGAGAUUGGUAUAUCAAAGAAAAAAAGACAAGAUAGAACUGAAGAUAGAACGAAGAGAGUGAAAAAUUAAACAAAGGAAAGAAAGCUCUCAUCGUGACACAGGUGGAUAGGUCAAAAAGCGUCCGAGUGUGUGCUUCGUUUGGGAACUAAGUUCGGAUCGAUGAGGUCCACAGGUGCCGUAAACUAGAUCCGCGCAAGCGCCCUUACCUAUCUCUAUCCCUUUUGCCGUUCAUCCCACUUCCAAACCACCCCCCCUCCCACUCCCAACCUUUAUCCAUCCCUUAUUUCUUCUGCCCACGAUUCUCAUGUCUAUUACUAUGAGAAAACUUCAUUCAAUUGCAGUUUAUAUGGAUAUAAUGCGAUGAUGAUAUUAAUACAUAUACAAACGAGAAGACAAUAAAGAGAGAAAGAGAGAGAGAGAGAGAGUAGUGUUUCACUUCUAUAUGUUCUCUAUAUAAAGAAAAUCGUUUAUAUGUUCGCGUAUGAAAAAAUACUCGGUGAUUAUUUAAACCCCUAUAUGUGUAUAUACGUAUAUAUAUUUAAAUGUAUAACGGAUCGCGGUCGAGUGUGUGUAAAAAGCUUGGUGGACAAUAUAAUUGGAGACAAAAAAAACAACCCUUUUACCUAAUUAUUUCGUAAUGUACACACGAUUCUUACCGUUUUAUCGAGUUAACGAGAUACGUUUAACUCGAUUGAAAUGAGAAUAUCAAUAAGAUAAAGUCGCAUCGAAUUGAAAUGAGAGAUAUAAUUCUCUCUGUCGUUUGUGAAUAGUUA